CCUACGGGGGGCAGCAGUGAGGAAUAUUGGUCAAUGGACGAGAGUCUGAACCAGCCAAGUAGCGUGAAGGAUGACUGCCCUAUGGGUUGUAAACUUCUUUUAUAUGGGAAUAAAAUGUUCCACGUGUGGGAUUUUGUAUGUACCAUAUGAAUAAGGAUCGGCUAACUCCGUGCCAGCAGCCGCGGUAAUACGGAGGAUCCGAGCGUUAUCCGGAUUUUUUGGGUUUAAAGGGAGAGUAGGUGGAUUGUUAAGUCAGUUGUGAAAGUUUGCGGCUCAACCGCAAAAUUGCAGUUGAUACUGGCAGUCUUGAGUACAGUAGAGGUGGGCGGAAUUCGUGGUGUAGCGGUGAAAUGCUUAGAUAUCACGAAGAACUCCGAUUGCGAAGGCAGCUCACUGGACUGCAACUGACACUGAGGCUCGAAAGUGUGGGUAUCAAACAGGAUUAGAUACCCGUGUAGUC
rnacentral:rRNA from 1 species